rnacentral:rRNA from 1 species
UGUGCCAGCAGCCGCGGUAAUACAGAGGGUGCAAGCGUUAAUCGGAAUUACUGGGCGUAAAGCGCGCGUAGGUGGUUCGUUAAGUUGGAUGUGAAAUCCCCGGGCUCAACCUGGGAACUGCAUCUGAUACUGGCAAGCUUGAGUCUCGUAGAGGGGGGUAGAAUUCCAGGUGUAGCAGUGAAAUGCGUAGAGAUGUGGAGGAAUACCGAUGGCGAAGGCAGCCCCCUGGGCCAAUACUGACGCUCAUGCACGAAAGCAUGGGGAGCAAACAGGAUUA